rnacentral:rRNA from 1 species
UGCAGUCGAGUGCGCGGUUGUAGCAAUACAACUGGCGCACGGCGCACGGGUGCGUAACACGUGGGCAAUCUGCCCUUCGAUGGGGAAUAACUCCGGGAAACCGAAGCUAAUUCCGCAUAACAUUCCUUGGACUUCGGUCCGAGGACUCAAAGCCGUAAGGCGUCGAAGGAGGAGCCCGCGCCCGAUUAGCUAGUUGGCAGGGUAACGGCCUACCAAGGCUUUGAUCGGUAGCUGGUCUGAGAGGAUGGCCAGCCACACUGGAACUGAGACACGGUCCAGACUCCUACGGGAGGCAGCAGUGGAGAAUCUUGCGCAAUGGGCGAAAGCCUGACGCAGCGACGCCGCGUGGGGGAUGAAGCAUCUCGGUGUGUAAACCCCUUUCGACUGGGACGAAUGCCUCGCAAGAGGAGUGGCGGUACCAGUAGAAGAAGCCCCGGCUAACUACGUGCCAGCAGCCGCGGUAAGACGUAGGGGGCCAGCGUUGUUCGGAAUUACUGGGUGUAAAGGGUUCGUAGGCGGUGCGGCAAGUCGGGAGUGAAAUUUCUGGGCUUAACCCAGAAGCUGCUUCCGAAACUGCCGUGCUGGAGUGUGGGAGAGC